UACCUAACUGGAUUAGGGCCCUGGCUCCAUCUCCUUUAGGAAAACCUUCUGUGGGGAGUGGGGCUUUGACCCUAACCCAGCUGGGCU
rfam:Canis lupus familiaris chromosome 4, whole genome shotgun sequence.